AAAGUACUCCCUCCGUCCCAAAAUUCUUGUCUUAGAUUUGUCUAGAUACGGAUGUAUCAAGUCACAUUUUAGUAUUAGAUACAUCCGUAUCUAGACAAAUCUAAGACAAGAAGUUUGGGACAGAGGGAGUAGUUG
rnacentral:pre_miRNA from 1 species